rnacentral:lncRNA from 1 species
GCGCGGGAUGUCGACGGCCGGCAUUUGGGGCGCCUCUUUUGAAACUGCGAUUAUGAGAGGAAACUUCAAAUUAGUUGCCUGAAUGGGUUCCCGGGAUGGUGAGGAUUGAUGGGAUGGUUUCCUUUCGGAGAGAGACGUGCGGGAAGGAAAGAAAUCGAAGAAAGAAAAUAUGGAAGGAGUGAUUUCCUUACGUGCAGAGGAAGAAGAAAGAGCACGAGCGGGCUGGGGCGCUCAGUGGAGAUGGGCCGGCCCAGUUGGGUCAGCCCAUUCGUUUUUUUUCUUUUUCUUUUUACAUUUUCUGUUUUUAUUAAUAACUUUUGAUUCCUAAGUUCAAAUAAGUCCAAAUAAACUCCAGAAAAUUUGUAAAUUUAAAUCCUCCAAAGUGUGAGCUUUUGGGACUUGAAUCCUUUCGAAAUAAAAUAAGUAAAACAAAAUACUUUUUCUUAUAUAAAUGUCAUUAGGUCUUUAUAAGUAAAACAUAUAAUAGGUUUUGAAAUCUAUUUUUCAUAAAUUAGUUUAAAUUCUAACAAAAUAUUGGGUUGGCAUACUUUGCACUAAAAUCCUUUCUUAGAUAAAUACCCCAUUGGGUUGAACUCCAAAUAAAAUCUCAAAUUUAUUACAUGGUUCACUAAAUUCCCAAAUAGCUUUAUAACACCAAAUCACAAAUCAUGUAAACAAUCGC